UGAGCUUCCACCUGAGAGAGAAGAUCGUCCACCAUUGACGCGCAAGAAAGCUCCUUCUGCAGAACUACAGGCAACGAGGAAGCCUCCAGAAGCGACGCCGUUCCUUCUUCCCCAUCCCGUCGGUACUGUUCCUGCAGCUUCCGGGUCCUCUCCUCCAUCUCCCGCAAGUUGGCCGACAAAACCUCCCACUGCUCAAUCUCUCUCUGGUACUUCGCCCUAACCUUCAACAACGUCUUCAUCCUGCGCUCUCGACGCCGAUUCUCCUCCGCCUCAAGAUCCACCGCCUGAGCUACCGACGAGCGAGCUGCAACGGCUUCCGCGGGGUCUAGCCGGCGCCUCUUCCGCUUGUAGACGAAGCCAUCGUCGUUGCAAAGCUCCCAAUCG
rnacentral:misc_RNA from 1 species